rnacentral:rRNA from 1 species
AUGGAGGGAGUUGCAGGGAUGUUGAAGGGAUUGAAGCUGACGGAGGAAGAGGGGAGGGGUGUGAAGAUCCGUAUCCCAGCAAGAGAGAGGGGCAAAUGCGUGGAGUUCCAGGCGGUGGGCAAGGUACUGUCGGACAAACUGGUGCACCAGGAUGCGAUCUCCCUCUCGUUGGGUCGGGUGUGGUGUCCGACCAAGGGCACUGGCUGCAAGGAUGUGGGGGACAACAUGUUCGUUUUCACUUUCCUCCAGGAAUCAGGGAAGAGAAAGGCGAUCGAGGAUGGGACAUGGAUGUUCGACAAGGACUUGGUGGUAGUAGAGGAUUACGUACCAAGCAAACGGAUGGAGGAUUACGACUUCAAUUCUAUUCCAAUGUGGGUACGAGUGUUCGGCCUACCCCUCAGUAUGAUGACUGAGGAAUCAGCAGAG